GAGGAAUGUAUAGCGAUAGCUAAUUGUAUUAACAAAUUGUUAAUGCAAUAUCGACUAUGUUGAAUAAAAUUCUAGGUAGAAUUAUGAUAAUGACAUUAUCUGCCUAUGUGUCUUGACCAAAUUACGUGCCAGCAGUCGCGGUAAUACGUAGAAGACUAGUGUUAUUCAUCUUUAAUAGGUUUAAAGGGUACCUAGACGGUAAAUCAAGCCACUAAAGGGACUAAUUUACUAGAGUUACUUGAGAGGGGGUUUUAAAGUACUGCUGGUGUAAGAGAUGAAAUUCUUUGAUACCAAUUCUACGCUUAGGGAAUUAUGGCACAGGUAUAGGCGAAGGCAUCCCCUUAUGUGAUAACUGACGUUGAAGGACGAAGGCUUUUUAUAGCGAACAGGAUUAGAUACCCUAGUAGUCAAAGCAGAAAAUGAUGAAUGUCAUAGAUUAGACAUCAAAUAGUUUAUUCUAUAAAUGAAAGUGUAAGCAUUCCACCUCAAGAGUAAUUUGGCAACAUUGGAACUGAAAUCAUUAGACCGUUUCUGAAACCAGUAGUGAAGUAUGUUGUUUAAUUUGAUAAUCCGCAAAAAACCUUACCACAAUUUGAAUAUUUAUAUUAUUUCUUAUCUCAAAAUUUUGAAAAAAGAAAUGUAUAUUUACAAGCGUUGCACGGCUGUCUUCAGUUAAUGUCGUGAGAUUUUGGUUAGAUCCAUUAAAUUAACGUAAACCCUUACUUUAUUUUUAAAUAAAGUAGUUCUCCGCUAGAUUGGAUAAG
rnacentral:rRNA from 1 species